UCAGUACGGGAGGCAGCAGUGAGGAAUAUGGUCAAUGGACGUAAGUCUGAACCAGCCAAGUAGCGUGCAGGAAGACGGCCCUAUGGGUUGUAAACUGCUUUUAUGUGAGAAUAAAGUUAGGUAUGUAUGAAUAAGCAUCGGCUAACUCCGUGCCAGCAGCCGCGGUAAUCUGA
rnacentral:rRNA from 1 species